rnacentral:tRNA from 1 species
AGUUAAAUCAAUUAUGUUUUGAAAACAUUAAAUAAGAAGAUAAUAACUUCUAUUAACUU